CUUUGUCCCUUAGCAGAGGAGCUGCAUAGAACUGCAUGAGGGGGUCAUAUAGUCGAAAACCAUCUUCGAUCCUGUGUAUGAUUCCUCUUUUUCAAUGCUUUUUGCUUUUCCUCAACGGUUUUUGCUUUUUAUGUCAUCUCCCUUUCCUUGGUAUUUCUUCUUUAUUCCCAUCAUAUUACUUUUCCGAGGAGUGGUUCCAUUGCGAAUAGCUAAAUGAACAACUUUAUAGGGCCAGUUAUAAGCAACACAGAUAAGCUUUGGAGCCAAGUUGUCCCUGCAGUGAUUAGGAUUGAUCGCCAGCUUAACGCCCGUGGUUCUGUCGUGCUACACCCUUAUUGACGUGUCGGACCAUUAUUUAUUGAAGUCCUAGUAAGCCAUGGAAUCCGGGGAAUGAAUUUUUGGGGGAUCGAGAAGGAUUGAGGAAGGGUGUUCAUGUUUUUUUUUUUUUUUUUUAUUUCAUUCUCUCCCAUUUUAAGGCUGCAUUAGCUCGGAAAUGAUGUGAGGUUCAUAUAUAUACUCCUAAAACGGCUAUUGCAUUAUCUGUCUACCUACAUGAAUAAAAUACUAGGAGA
rnacentral:sRNA from 1 species